rnacentral:misc_RNA from 1 species
UUGAAAUAAACCUGAUGGGUUGUUGCUGGUUCUCUAGGGAGCAUGUGCACGCCUUGUCAUCUUUAUAUCUCCACCUGUGCACUUUUGUAGACCUUUCAGGUCUAUGUUUUUUCAUUUACCCCAAUGUAUGUUAAUAGAAUGUUGUGCCUAUAUAAUAUAUA